CACCACAACAGGUGGAGCCUGCGGUUUAAUCGGACUCAACGCCGGGAAACUCACCAGAUAAGACAGCUGAAUGAUAGUCGGGCUGAAGACUCUACUUGACUAGCUGAGAGGAGGUGCAUGGCCGUCGUCAGUUCGUACUGUGAAGCAUCCUGUUAAGUCAGGCAACGAGCGAGACCCACGCCAACAGUUGCCAGCUCGUCCUCCGGGAUGGUGGGGACACUGUUGGGACCGCCUCUGCUAAAGAGGAGGAAGGAAUGGGCAACGGUAGGUCAGCAUGCCCCGAAUUAUCUGGGCUACACGCGGGCUACAAUGGGUGGGACAAUGGGUAUCGACACCGAAAGGUGAAGGCAAUCUCCUAAGCCCAUCCGUAGUUCGGAUUGUGGGCUGCAACUCGCCCACAUGAAGCUGGAAUCUGUAGUAAUCGUGUCUCAAAAUGGCACGGUGAAUAUGUCCCUGCUCCUU
rnacentral:rRNA from 1 species